rnacentral:lncRNA from 1 species
CACCAUCACAUUUAUUUUUAUUUUAAUUACUAAUUUAUAUAGCCAAUCGAUUCAUCAAAAUUUGUUCACAAUCACUCCUAAUUAUUUAAUAACUUUUAUAGUCGAAGCCCUUAUCUUAAAAUCUUGCAUCCGCCCCUGUAGAGUGGCGGACCGCCGUAGGCCUCCCCGCUUUUACGUCCUAGUACAUGUUUAUACAUUAUUUUGUAAUCAAGUUGAAAGAAAAUAAAACUAAGAAUGACAUCUUUGCCCACCCGGUUUCCUAAUCAUAUGAAUGAAUAUACAUAAUAUAGAUAGGAAUAGCUGGUAACAAAAAUUUCGGAAAAUACUAACGAAAUUAAAACCAAUUUUGUUUCUUUAGGAUUAUAUAAAAUAAGAAACAUAAAAUUUAUUUAAAACUACAAAAACCCCACGAUCUAAAUAAAAAAUUAAACAUUUUAACCCAAGUUUGAGGUUAAGAAAACUGAAAUGUUUAAACCUAAAAUCCAAAGUUUAUUUCGACGCCGGGAAACUAUUUCACGAAACUCACCGGAGAACGACGCCGCCUACCGCAGUUGUUUUGUAUUCAUUUCCGGUCGCCGGAUUGUUCACCAUGUUCGUAGCGUACUCUCUCUCUCUCUCUCUCUCUCCCUCUCUCUCUCUCUCUCUCUGGUCGCGAAAGCAAGGACUGUUGACCGUUGAAACUUGACAUCCGCCGUCCGCCGACCGUCGUGCUCUUUUCUAGUCUUCGUUCUCACUUCUCGGGUACGUAGC